rnacentral:rRNA from 1 species
UAGGGAAUCUUCGGCAAUGGACGGAAGUCUGACCGAGCAACGCCGCGUGAGUGAAGAAGGUUUUCGGAUCGUAAAGCUCUGUUGUAAGAGAAGAACGAGUGUGAGAGUGGAAAGUUCACACUGUGACGGUAUCUUACCAGAAAGGGACGGCUAACUACGUGCCAGCAGCCGCGGUAAUACGUAGGUCCCGAGCGUUGUCCGGAUUUAUUGGGCGUAAAGCGAGCGCAGGCGGUUAGAUAAGUCUGAAGUUAAAGGCUGUGGCUUAACCAUAGUAGGCUUUGGAAACUGUUUAACUUGAGUGCAAGAGGGGAGAGUGGAAUUCCAUGUGUAGCGGUGAAAUGCGUAGAUAUAUGGAGGAACACCGGUGGCGAAAGCGGCUCUCUGGCUUGUAACUGACGCUGAGGCUCGAAAGCGUGGGGAGCAAACGGGAUUAGAUACCCUGGUAGUCCACGCUGUAAACGAUGAGUGCUAGGUGUUAGACCCUUUCCGGGGUUUAGUGCCGUAGCUAACGCAUUAAGCACUCCGCCUGGGGAGUACGACCGCAAGGUU